AACUAGUAUUUUUUGUUAAGUGAUAUUUUAUUUUUAAGUAAUCUCUACACCCAACAUGGGGCUCAAACUCACCACUCCAAGAUCAAGAGUUGCAUGCUCUUAGAACUGAGCCAGCCGGGAACCCCU